CGCAGGGCCCCCCCUCCACCGCGCCCUUAUAGACAUUAGCCCCCACGCCUGCGUACACGUUCCCCCAGAGCCCGCCACGCCCGCGUACACACUCCUGUGGAAUCCAUCACAUUGGUGUACACGCUCCGGCAGAGCCCGCCACACUCACCUAAACCCUAAAAAAUGGAGGGCCAAGAUUGUGGAUUAAACCAAAGUCUACAUUUCCUCUCUAAAAAAGGCCUAUUCAAGUCAAGGGAACUUUUUAAGGCUCAAGCUCAAGACCUGGAGACACAGCCACCUCCGGCAGGUGCGAAGGGCCAGCUAAGCCCGGGAGUGCUGGUGAGGCUCUGCCUGGAUGCCCCCCUCGCGCCACACCUAGGCCUCAGCGGCAUCUGGAGGCAGAGGAUUCGGAGCUCUUCCCCGGCACAGAGCUUGGAGCCAGGCAGGACGGACGACCCAGCCGAGGUCAAAGCAGGGACAUUUCUCUUCACCCGCCUGGCUAAAUAUCAGAACCACACUGUCGCUAUGAGCACAUUUUUAUAAAUAUUUGAGUUAAAUCGUUAUUAAAUUGCAUAUGAUUCAUUCCAUAAUUAUGGUUCAGUAGUUCUCAGUGAAUCAUUCAGUGAUUAAUAGUUUCUGGAUUUAAAAGAAAACUUUCAGGUACAAUCAGGAGAGCUACCCAAAAUAGAGACCCAGAAAACGCUAGGAAAUCAAGACCCUCCUCGCAGGGAGGACAGCCAGGUCCCCUGGCCUGCCCUGUAGGCAUGCCCAGAACAAACCCUUUUCCUGUGAGCAUGUGUCCCAGGUCACGUGCACGGACGCCACGGUGCCCCUCGCUGUCCCGAGUCACCUGCACGGACGCCACGGUGCCCCUCGCUGUCCCGAGUCACCUGCACGGACGCCACGGUGCCCCUCGCUGUCCCGAGUCACCUGCACGACGCCACGGUGCCCCUCGCUGUCCUGGGUCACCUGCACGACGCCACAGUGCCCCUCGCUGUCCUAAUCCACCUGCACGGUACCGCGGUCUUCAGCUGGGUGCCAAGAAUGUCCCUCCACUACAGCUUCUCCAGUUUCUUCUCUACACAGAGAUUAUGAUGGCACCUUUCCCAUGUGAGAAUAGACCAAUGCAGUUUUCUGCAGAAAUUGGGGAAAACAGUAAUUAUAUUUUACAACAAUAACUGGGAAGGACGGUCUGGUGGAUAACGUGUUUUACACCAGCUUCGAGGUUUGAUCUACAGAGAUGGCAUUUUGUGGGAGCAAGCCAGGCCCCGCUUACAGCCCUGAGCUGUCUGGGGCCACAGUCACUUUCCACAGGCAGGCAUGAGUUCUCCACCCUGAAGCGGGCUGCUGCCCAGUGACCUGGAGCGACGCAGAGGUGCUCCUUGUCCACACUUCGACCCAAGACCGGCCGCUGCUCCCCACCUCAGACCUUGUCCUCUGUCCACAGUCAUGUUGCCUGCCUUUCCCUGGAGCCGACUGCCUUGGCCACCCGUGGCUUUGUGAUGGGCGUGUUCUGUGAGGAGGACGUCAACUUCCUGCCCGUCUUGACCCCCUCUUCUGUGAAAGGAGACCUGUUGCAGGCCGGCGGAAGCGGGUGAAUCACACUCGUCCAGCCCCGAGGCAGGGCCACAUCCUCAGACCCAUCAUGAGUGGAUCCGUUGCCGUGGCUGUUUCCGGCAGCUCGCUGUGUGUGUCCCAGCAACUGCUUUGAGCAUUUUCCUUACAUCGAAACUUACUUCAUCAAAAAAUAAAAUAAAAUAAUGACUGUGAGGUCGAUAACAUCGUUACCGCUUUGGGGAUGAGAAAAUGCAUGCCCAGCUCACGUGGAGAGGCCAGACUCAGCCCUCUGACUCCAGCAGCCACAGGCCUAGCUGCCUCCCAGCAGUGGGCAGGGGACCUACUGGUGGAACUUACUGGCUCAGGCCACUCCAGGAAAGGAGGUGGGGGGCCGGGAGGUGGGGAGCUCGCCCAGGGCCUUGGGUUCAGCACGAUGGAAGGUCUUCUAGAACCAGGUCCCCUCCUGCCCACGGUGCAGAGCUGCUGGGCCGGGUAUGCAGGGAAUGGUGGUGAGGGGCCCAUGAAGGAACGCCUAGAGAGAGACCCAGCCAUGAAGGGCCAGCGGCCAAGAGCUCCCCACUGCCCCCGCCCUGGCAGGCUGUGCACCGCGGGCCUGAGAACAGCCUUCCUUUCACCAGGCUCCGUGCACGUCUGGUGUUUGGAUUCCACGCCUGAGGAAACGUGUGGGUGACCAUCUGGCUGCGCGGACGCCUGCAGGGCCAGGGACGGGCCGCCCCUCCUUCCCAAGGGCAAACAGCCUCGGGACGGCGACGGGACAAGCUCUGCUAAGUAGUCAGCCACAAAUUUGUUUUCUUUGAAGGAAAUAAAGAACAAUUUUUCUAUUGUAUAAAACCAAAAAUGUAGCACUUAAUUCCAGUCUGAUUCACUCUGUGAGCAAACUUAGUUCCCACACUGACCUCGGUCUCAGGGAGUGAAGUGAGGACUCCCUCCACCUCCUGAAGAAUCUCAGAGAAGCUGUGGACCUUCCCGCCACUCCUGGGCCAUUCGCCCCUGGAGGCCUAGGUUCCCA
rnacentral:lncRNA from 1 species